GAAAUGAGGAAGGUAAGGAUUUUGAUAAGUGGAGAGAGAUUCUUCCAGUGCUUAGAGACGUUUGGGAUAUUCAAGUUAUAAAAAUGAAGAAAAGUAUCGAUAAAAUGUCGAAGGGAAGAAAGUCGAAGGAUGAACAAAUGAACUAAUUGAGAACCACGAGAAAAUACAGGAAUUACAACGGAGGGAGAGGGAGUAUAUUACAGGCAGAUUAGCAGCAAAGAUGGUCGACUUUCAACAACCACCCGUCCACCAUUCCUCCUGAAGAAGCAAACGGACAACCCGGGAUGCUCCCUAGGUCUGCCACUACCCUCACCUGCCAACUGCAUCUGUCUGAUCUUAACCAGGCUUCUAAACAGAAAGAUCCAAAAGAAGAGAAGGAAGUUGCUUACUAAGAAAGUCAGACCCCAAAAACAGAAAACAGGCCAUAACAUGAAGGGGAAAGUCAAACCCCAAAAACAGAAAACAUGCCAUAACAUUUAUCUCUUGCCAGGAUCGUAAAAGUGGAAACACAUGUCACCAAUGUAAGAAAGAAAAACAAUAGAACAGCAACUGUUGUUGCUUGCACCAAGUGUCAACAAAAAUCCAGUGCAUCAAUGAAUGGUAUCCUCAAUUGCAAGAAGAAGAAGACAUUGCAAAUCUGUGCCCAUUUACUGCAAUUGCAAUGAGUGUUUACAGUCAGUGGCGGACCCAGGAUUUUUGAACAAUGGGGUCCAAAAAAAAACACACACAAAAAAAGGAAGAAACAGAUGAUUCCGGACAUAAACUUUGAUGAUUAUGUGAAGAUGCAGCAUCUUCACUAUCUAUUGACGUCGGUUGUAAAACAAAUUAGUAAAGAACAAACUGAUGAGCUAUUAUUUAUAGAAGCAAGCAGAUGCUCAAGGGGUGGGUACCAGUGUCUUCAAUAAAAGUAGAGCAGGGCAACUAUCCCACUAAAGCACGCGUCUAUUGGUAAUUUUCGCACAAGUAUUUUUGUAUUUAUGCAUAUUGUUAAAUACUACGAGGUGUGUCCAGCAACUACUGCUCAACAUCAAUUUUUGAUCUUUUUCGGAGCUGUUCAAAAUGCGACUACGAGGUGUGCUGUCAGGAAAUACGGAAGAAUGACCCUCUUCAAAAACAAGCAGAAUUUAGCCAUUGUGGUUGGUACAUAUGACAUUUGGCACUUGCACUUGGGGCGUCCGAAACCCAACACUUCAAAUAGCCCAAAAUGGGUACUUAAAGACCGGAGGAUAGUUUGUCCUCCUAAAGAAAUCGGUGGAUGUGGUGAUUCUUUAUUGGAGCUCACACGUAUCUUACAAGAAGAUUAGAUUGGAUCUCAACGUUGGAAAAGAAAGCUGAUUGUAUAUUGAAAACAAUUAAGCCACCACAUUUUGAGUCAGUUCCGUUGGAACCCAAUUGUCAUACACACCUCAGAGCAGCUCAAAGGGAAUGAUCAGAUGAUUUCCUAUACUACCCUUCACCAAGAGACGUCUCGAGGGAUAACCUUAUUCGUUUUCGUCAACACUGGAGGGAAGGUCAGCCGGUGAUUUUCAAGACUAGUGGAUUAAGCUGGGAGCCGAUGGUGAUGUGCCGUGCAUUGCUUAAACAUUUGAAUCCUAAAAAAGGGUCAAAAGUCAAUACCAUUGAUUGCUUCUAUGGUUGUGUGGAUGACAUGUGUGCUUCGGAAUUUUUCAUAGGUUACACUAAAGGAAUAUGGCAUGACGAUUCACGGCCAGUGAUGCUCAAACUAAAGGACUUUCCCCCUAACCAUAGCUAUGAAGAAGUUCUGCCAAGACAUUAUGAUGAGUUCAUUUGUGCUUUGCCUCUCCGAGAAUACACUGAUCCAAAGACAGGUGUUUUUAAUAUUAGUGCUGCGAAGUUACCACCACAUAUUAAUAAACCUGAUAUGGGUCCAAAAUCAUACAUUGCGUAUGGAAAUACCCAAGAACUUGGAAGAGGCGAGAUUCUGUGACCCAUCUUCAUUGCGAUAUAGCAGAUGCGGUGAAUAUAUUGUUACACACCGUGGAAGUAUCAGUUAGUGACAUGGGCGUAGAAUCCAAGGAAACAGAUGGUGCUCUUUGGGACAUAUUCCGAAGGGAAGAUGUGAAAAAGUUAGAGGAGUAUCUUUCGAAUCAUUUGAAAGAAUUUCAAUACCCAUGCGGUUGUCCCAUUGAUAAGGUUUAUAAUCCUAUUCUUGAUCAAACAUUUUACUUGACAUCGGAGCAUAAAAGGAAGCUAAAAGCGGAACAUGGUGUGGAACCAUGGACAUUUACGCAACAUCUUGGAGAAGCCGUUUUUAUUCCUGCCGGAUGUCCACACCAAGUACGAAUAUUCAAGCCGAGUUUGACCUGAGUCGACCCGUUAGGUGGCUGAGUCACGAGCUGACCCGUUAGGUGGCUGAGUCAGCCAGGUUUUACAACCUUGAUUUUUAACUAAAAUUGCAUGAGAAAAGUAUGGUUUCAUGGAACAGAUAAAGAAGAUGGUCUUGCAUGCUAUGGACAGAACACUAAAAGAUAUCGAAAUUCUUCAAUGCCAGUUAGCAUAGCUUUUGUGAGUGUUUCAUCGAAAAAGUAAGUUUUUGACCUGUAAAAAGUUUUUGACCUUAUGCGUAGGGUUUAUUAACCACUUCUGGUUCCUUAACUGAUAUUAGUCUAUUUUAAAGUUUAUUUACUUUUA